rnacentral:rRNA from 1 species
AUGCACGCUGGCGGCGUGCCUAAUACAUGCAAGUCGAGCGAACAGACGAGGAGCUUGCUCCUCUGACGUUAGCGGCGGACGGGUGAGUAACACGUGGAUAACCUACCUAUAAGACUGGGAUAACUUCGGGAAACCGGAGCUAAUACCGGAUAAUAUAUUGAACCGCAUGGUUCCAUAGUGAAAGACGGUUUUGCUGUCACUUAUAUAUGGAUCCGCGCCGCAUUAGCUAGUUGGUAAGGUAACGGCUUACCAAGGCAACGAUGCGUAGCCGACCUGAGAGGGUGAUCGGCCACACUGGAACUGAGACACGGUCCAGACUCCUACGGGAGGCAGCAGUAGGGAAUCUUCCGCAAUGGGCGAAAGCCUGACGGAGCAACGCCGCGUGAGUGAUGAAGGUCUUCGGAUCGUAAAACUCUGUUAUUAGGGAAGAACAAAUGUGUAAGUAACUAUGCACGUCUUGACGGUACCUAAUCAGAAAGCCACGGCUAACUACGUG